rnacentral:lncRNA from 1 species
AUGUUCCGUAGAUGGCACGGCCCCCUCGCUCCAUCCUUGAGCCGAAUGGAGAGGGCAUUCAUGACCAACCUGAAAUCAUGCGGGAAACCUGCAUCAAGGCUGGGCCAGUUCAGAGGACUAGGAGAGCUGUCUUCUGCUAAUGAAGUGCACUUGUGUGAGGUUUUGAAGGUAGAAGAGAAAUGGAAUAUAUUCUUCUUCCCUGUGCAUCGAGGUUGGACAUGGAAGCUGUGAACUGAAGUUUGGCACUUGCCAUCAGCCUCUACAUGGAGUAAAACAGUCCCUGCAGCUGCCGACCCACAAGCCCCCUGAGCGGACCUCAGGGUGGAGGCCAGGAGGGAGGCCCUCUGUGCUCUGGGGAUACUGGAAGAACAGGUCUUCAGAUGGUUAGACAUUUUUAGGAGAAGAUUUUAUGAGCCUGAUUCUUACAUCUCCUCAUAUCUAGAAAAACACUAAAAUUCUUCAGUGAUGACUGAUGUU